UAAUUAUCGGGAGCAGUGCCUCCCAUAAUUA
rfam:Lepisosteus oculatus linkage group LG2, whole genome shotgun sequence.